rnacentral:tRNA from 3 species
GCCCCGUUCGUCUAGUGGCCUAGGACGCCAGGUUCUCAACUUGGUAGCACGGGUUCGAAUCCCGUACGGGGUACAA